rnacentral:rRNA from 1 species
UACAGAGGGUGCAAGCGCUGUUCGGAAUUAUUGGGCGUAAAGCGCGUGUAGGCGGCUUUGCAAGUCGGGUGUGAAAGCCCUCAGCUCAACUGAGGAAGUGCGCCCGAAACUGCAGAGCUUGAGUACCGGAGAGGGUGGCGGAAUUCCCCAAGUAGAGGUGAAAUUCGUAGAUAUGGGGAGGAACACCGGUGGCGAAGGCGGCCACCUGGACGGAUACUGACGCUGAGACGCGAAAGCGUGGGUAGCAAACAGG